CCUACGGGAGGCAGCAGUGAGGAAUAUUGGUCAAUGGGCGGAAGCCUGAACCAGCCAAGUAGCGUGCGGGAUGAAGGCCCUACGGGUCGUAAACCGCUUUUGCACGGGGAUAACACCCUCCACUUGUGGACGUCGGCAGGUACCGUGCGAAUAAGGGCCGGCCAAUUCCGUGCAAGCAGCCGCGGUAAUACGGAAGGCCCGAGCGUUAUCCGGAUUCUGUGGGCUUAAAGGGAGCGUAGGCGGGCGUUAAAGUCAGCUGUAAAAUCGCGCGGCUCAACCGCGCCCCGCAGUUGAAAGUGGACGCCUUGAGUUCACAACAGGCAGGCGGAAUUCGUGGUGUAGCGGUGAAAUGCAUAGAGAUCACGAGGAACCCCGAUUGCGAAGGCAGCCUGCCGGGGUGCGACUGACGCUGAGGCUCGAAGGUGCGGGGAUCAAACAGGAUUAGAUACCCGAGUAGUC
rnacentral:rRNA from 1 species